rnacentral:rRNA from 1 species
CCGAAAGUGGCGCUGACUAUACAUGCAAGUCGAGCGGACAGAUGGGAGCUUGCUCCCUGAUGUUAGCGGCGGACGGGUGAGUAACACGUGGGUAACCUGCCUGUAAGACUGGGAUAACUCCGGGAAACCGGGGCUAAUACCGGAUGGUUGUUUGAACCGCAUGGUUCAAACAUAAAAGGUGGCUUCGGCUACCACUUACAGAUGGACCCGCGGCGCAUUAGCUAGUUGGUGAGGUAACGGCUCACCAAGGCAACGAUGCGUAGCCGACCUGAGAGGGUGAUCGGCCACACUGGGACUGAGACACGGCCCAGACUCCUACGGGAGGCAGCAGUAGGGAAUCUUCCGCAAUGGACGAAAGUCUGACGGAGCAACGCCGCGUGAGUGAUGAAGGUUUUCGGAUCGUAAAGCUCUGUUGUUAGGGAAGAACAAGUACCGUUCGAAUAGGGCGGUACCUUGACGGUACCUAACCAGAAAGCCACGGCUAACUACGUGCCAGCAGCCGCGGUAAUACGUAGGUGGCAAGCGUUGUCCGGAAUUAUUGGGCGUAAAGGGCUCGCAGGCGGUUUCUUAAGUCUGAUGUGAAAGCCCCC